CAUCCACUAAUGGACGCCAAAUACACCACCCCCUCAAUACCCUGUCUGGUAAUGAAUAAAAUCAAAACAAUUCCUAACCCCUUCCAAUAUUGGAUCUCUUAGUCCCGUUCGACCGAGGGUAACGUCCACAUUAAGGUUUACCCUAUGUAUUAAGUUCGUACACCCUUUUCCAUUACACCCGGUAAAUACCUUUAAUUUUAAUAACGUUACAUAUACAUACAAGUUCCCAUUACCAUCUAACCACCAAAUACGUGUAACACUCACAUUUCACAAUUAUCAAAAAAAUAUAACGAUUAUUUAAUAGGUGAUACAAAUUAAGACCUAAUGAU
rnacentral:lncRNA from 1 species